UGCAGAUAAAAUUCAGGCCAAAGCAAUUGGGUCGGUUGUAGAGAAUAUCAAUUUUCCCUGCUCGCCAGUUCGUUUUGUAUGCGAUAUAAUGUAUAGAUUGAUGCUCGUGUUCACCAGCUCAAAGGCACCAGCUCCAGGUGCCUGGGAAGUGAAGCAACAAUUAUUUUUAGUCACGAACCCUUUUUCCGGAAAAUCCGAUUCUCUUGUGUAAGUUUUACCUUUUCUGACAUUUUAAAUUCCACAUGUUUAUUUCGAGAUUGGAGUGAGAAUCUAGGCUAGGCUCAAUUUAUGUUUACGUUUUGUCUGAUGCGAAAACUUUCGAUGUUUGCUCGGGUCUUAGAAAAUGUUUGCUGUGAAUCAAUGUGUAGUAGCUCAAGUAGAAGUUCUGGGAUGUACAUGCUUAUUUCCCUCAAACUUGUAAUGGGUUAUGUAAAUAUCUCAUCAACAAUUAAUAUAAAUUUAUUCGAUUGUGUUAGUUCGAUUUAAAA